rnacentral:sRNA from 1 species
GGUCGUGUCCCUCAGGGACUUUCCCAUUUACUCUGGAAGACCAAACUUAUAGGCUACACUCUGGGUGCAGACAGUGCUAGUCCUGUGGGGAGUUGGGAAAAAGGAGUGGGAGGCUUUGUGGCCGAGGAGGGGCUUCAGGGCAGCAAGGAUGACGGCUGGGUUUGAACAGUCAGUGGAGAAGGAAGUGUGGAAAGGCCAGAGAAGUAGACAUGGAUGUGUGCAUGCCAGAGAGGGCAGGCAGGCAGGGUUCAUGGAGGGGGCAGAAGCAGCACAUUGACCUCUGCUUCUGCCAGAAGAUCAGAGGGGAUAUCGGGGGGGUGGUCUGGCCAGAGUAAGGGCAGCCUUGAAGCCCCAGUGGAAUAAUUUUGACUUGAUUCUAUGGAAAAUGACAUACGACAGUGUAGGAGGGCUUGUCUUCUAACUGAAACCAGCUGGGAAUCUUUCCCAGUAGAGUCAAGGGCAGGGCAGAGCGAGGGCCUUUGGCAGCAUGUGCAAAUGUACACGCAUGUAACCAUUGUGUGUGGCCCACCAUGCUUCUAAACCUACCUUUACCUCCCCUAGUUCUUCAAAUCUCUUAACCCUCUUGUCUGUGAGCAUCAGCAAUCCGGGGCUGACACAGACAACACCACAGUGUGCCAUCUUGCCAGAAGGAGAAACUGAGGCACUCUAUUCUAAAGAGGCUGGUUCUAGGACCUGCCCUUGAAUCACUGUGGAGUAAGACCCAGAGUGUGGGCUGCCAGGCCCCUUCCUUCAGGGAUCUGGCUUCUAAAGUUGGUUCUUUUCCUGUAUCUCAUAAAGAGGGAAAGGAUGGGCCUAAGAAAGGUUAUUUGAACGAAUGGCCAUUGUAAUUGCCUCCUAUCAGGCACAGGUGGAUAGAGGCAGGUGGGGGGAAGAGGGCUGCCUGGAUCUGGGAUUCCCAAUCCCCCAUACUCCUUGGCCUAUUGUUGAGGGGGAGCUAGAGGAGGGGUGCGGACUUAGCAGGUUAAGAAAGAUAAACGCUUACUCUUUAACAGUGGGAAAGAGGGACGGAAGAGUAAGAUUGAAAUCUGAGGCAAGAGGAGUGGCCUAACUUGGUGGAGGCAGGAGAGGCGCGUGUUCUCUACAUGCCCGUCCAAGUCCCUGGUAGGUUCGUCCUUGCUCUGAGGGAAGAGUGUGGGCCACAGGCCAUGGGGACACUCUGAGGAUGUGGGUGCUGCCCAUCUUGAAGUUUCUCCCCACCCCUCUCCGGAGCUGCUACCAUUGUCCUUUGCCCUCGGAGUGCUCUCCUCCCACCCCUGCCGCCUCUUGUUCUCUUUCUCCCUUGAGCCAUUAGAAUGGCAGGGAGCCCAGCCAGGGCCUGGACGGCGGCCUCAGCUCCCUGUUCUCAAUAAUUGUGUGUGGGUGCAUGUGUGCACGUGUACGUGUGAGUGCCUGUGUGUGUGCAUUGUGUGUAGGGGCUGGGGCUGGGGUCGACAACAGAUCAGAGCACAGGAGUAGAGCGCUUCUGGGAGGGUGGGGUCACCCGUGAGUCACGUCCUGCACCCUGGAGCCCAGAGGACCCUUCGCUCAAACCCACCACCAGCUGGCAACACCGGACCAGCCAGAGCCGCUUUCUUCGCUGCGCAGAGGAGCCUGGGAGAAGCCAGAGGUGUAAGUCAAGCUGUGGAGGGACUGGGUGUGGCUGAGCCCCGUGACAAGUGGGAGGAGCCAGGGAUGCUUGGGAGAGGAGGCACUGUGCGCGAGAGAGGAGGGAAGGGGGAAGCGUUCGUGCCUCUCUGCCCCCUGUCCCCCUCUUGCUGCAUAGUAGCCACAUCCAUGUCUCUUGUACCCUGCAAUCUGGAGGCCCCUGCCAGAAGCGGGAAAUCCCAAGUACAGCAGCAAAAGGUAUGAGGAUUGGCACAAAGUUGUGGCCAAUGGAGGCUCCCCAAAGUGCAUGGAAGGUGGUGGUCCAGUGUCUAAAGGCAGGAGUGCUGGGGCAACCCCAUAGCUGGGGGUCCUAUGGGAGAGACUGAGGAACUUCGGUUUGUGGACUCUCAGUCAACUGUGUUACUGAGGAGGGGAAAGGGAAGUAGAUGAGUUGGUGGUUUGAACAAGACCCAAAUCUUGCUUCUACUUAUAGGUGCUCACAAUGGCCAGUGCCCUGGAAAAGCUCUGGAAUAAAUACACCUGGGCCUUAGAAAGCAGAGGCAGGAGACAAUGCCAUCCAGUGGGAGCUUUCAUUUGUUUCCUCAGCCAGCCUCUGUGUCAGGCUUUUUGGGAACAAGGGCUGGAUGAACAAGACCUUGGGAGUUCUUGUGGGGAGGGACUGGGGGUGAAUGGGCAGUGUGGCUGGCCCGGUGAUCACUUCUCCUCUGCUUGUCUAGGCUUGAGGAUGGAUUCUUGGCUCCUGGUGCAUUGCCACUCCCUGCCACCCUCCUCCUUGUCUUCUGUCUUCUCCUGGUGGCUUCAGGCCUUGCUUCAUGUCCCAAAAGGAGCCUCUGGGGCUGGCACAGCCCUCACUGCCUACAACCUGGGCCUGGUGGUUCUCCUAGGGUGCCUCUGGGAGGUCAUGGCCACCCCGCUGCUGGCUAACUGCAGCUACUUCUGCCAGCCAGUGGACUACAGAUGGAGCAAGCAUGGAAUGAGGGCAUCUUCCUGGAGACAGGAAGGUAGGCAUUGUGGAAUCAGCGGUGCGUAGAACAGUGAGGAUUUGGGGCUGAACCCAGCCCAGGUGGGACAAGCCGUGGCACCAGCCGGACUGCAGUCUGAUGGAACUUCCCCUUCCUGCCCAGCAGAUGGCGAGCGUGUGCUGCUGGUGCCUCUUUCCAAAGGACGUUGAAUUGCUUGACAGGUGUUCCAGGUGUUCUUUACUUUAUGAAUGAAGCCGGAGCAGCCCACCUUCCUGCAUCUCUACCACCAUGGCACCAUGCCCUGUGAUGGGUGGGCUGGAGUCAAAUACGUAGCAGGCAACCAGGGUCAGUUUGUGGCCACUGCUGCCCCCUCUUCCUACAGUCUCCUCACUGAGUGCCCCUUCCCUGUUGGGUUCAACACAUCUGUGCUCCUGUAAGCCCUCAGCCUCCUGGUUCUCUUCCUCAACUUCUACCACCAGACACAUCUGAGAAGCAAGCAAGAGAGGCUGAACUAGGAGCAGGACCCAGGGACUGAAACCAUCACAGCAUCCCCACAGAGAAUUGGGUGGAAGGCAGCGUGGCUUCCAGCUUACUGGUGCUGAGCAGAUUUCUCUGGGUCUCCAUUGUAUCCUCUGAAGGAAGGAGGAGGAUUGCCUUCUGUCCAGAUCUCAGGAUCAAACAAAUAGGUCCAACUUCCUGUGCUCACUUCAGUUAGAGCACUUCUCAUGUGACUUUGUAGCUUUGUGUGCAUCUCCUUCCUCUACUAGACCUAAGCCCCUCACGGGAGGGACUCUCUUAUUCUUGAUGUUCCCCACACCUGGAAUUUCAAUAAACAUCUCAAUAAA